GAUGAACGCUGGCGGCGUGCCUAAUACAUGCAAGUCGAGCGAACAGACGAGGAGCUUGCUCCUCUGACGUUAGCGGCGGACGGGUGAGUAACACGUGGAUAACCUACCUAUAAGACUGGGAUAACUUCGGGAAACCGGAGCUAAUACCGGAUAAUUUUUUGACCCCCUGGGUUCAUUGUUAAAAAAGGGUUUUCUGGUAAUUAUUAGAGGAUCCGCGCCGCAUUAGCUAGUUGGUAAGGUAACGGCUUACCAAGGGAACGAUGCGUAGCCGACCUGAGAGGGUGAUCGGCCACACUGGAACUGAGACACGGUCCAGACUCCUACGGGAGGCAGCAGUAGGGAAUCUUCCGCAAUGGGCGAAAGCCUGACGGAGCAACGCCGCGUGAGUGAUGAAGGUCUUCGGAUCGUAAAACUCUGUUAUUAGGGAAGAACAAAUGUGUAAGUAACUAUGCACGUCUUGACGGUACCUAAUCAGAAAGCCACGGCUAACUACGUG
rnacentral:rRNA from 1 species